rnacentral:misc_RNA from 1 species
CGCAGCCGCGGUAAUUCCAGCUCCAAUAGCGUAUAUUAAAGUUGUUGCAGUUAAAAAGCUCGUAGUUGAAUUUCGGGAUCAAAUUGUCGGUCGUGCCUCGGUACGCACUGGUAUUAUUGGUUCCUACCUUCUGAAGAACCGCGAUGUCAUUAAUUUGGUGUCGUGGGGAAUCAGGACUGUUACUUUGAAAAAAAUUAGAGUGUUUAAAGCAGGCUUACGCUUGAAUACAUUAGCAUGGAAUAAUGAAAUAGGACGUUUGAUUCUAUUUUGUUGGUUUCUAGGAUUGACGUAAUGAUUAAUAGGGAUAGUUGGGGGCAUUAGUAUUCAAUUGUCAGAGGUGAAAUUCUUGGAUUUAUUGAAGACUAACUACUGCGAAAGCAUUUGCCAAGGAUGUUUUCAUUAAUCAAGAACGAAAGUUAGGGGAUCGAAGACGAUCAGAUACCGUCGUAGUCUUAACCAUAAACUAUGCCGACUAGGGAUCGGAUGAUGUUAAUUUUUUAAUGACUCAUU